GCCUCUGACCUGCACGUUCAAUGAUUUCCAGCAUCGUCCGGGGACUCCUCGGUCGCCCUCUCACGGCGGUAGCGCCGGUUCGAAUCCGGUCGGGGGUA
rnacentral:tRNA from 1 species